rnacentral:rRNA from 1 species
AGAAUCAACGCUGGCGGCGUGCCUCAGACAUGCAAGUCGAACGCGAAAGUUUCCUUCGGGGAGCGAGUAGAGUGGCGCACGGGUGAGUAACACGUAGGUAAUCUACCUUUGGAUGGGGAAUAACAACCGGAAACGGUUGCUAAUACCGCAUAAUGCAGCGCACCUAAUGGUGACAGUUGUUAAAGCGGGGGAUCGAAAGACCUCGCGUCUGAAGAGGAGCCUGCGGCGGAUUAGCUAGUUGGUAGGUAACGCCUACCAAGGCUACGAUCCGUA